AAGCCGUAAAGCCCCAAAUCGUGUAUGUCUUUGUCUCCCUCUCGACGAAACCAAGCUCCAUUGAAGCAGAAGAUUAAGCCAUGCCGUCCCUACUCCGGUGGUUCUAGCCAUCGAAACUGAAGAAAUAAGAAAUUAAGAAUGGAAUCUUGUGUUGAUGUGCCUAUUGAUUGGCAUGAAGUUCCUGAAUUCGAGUCAGAGAUUACCGAAGAUGAAGCACCAGUGAAAAAGAAGGAGAAGUUUUUGAAGCGAAUCAUGCAUUGCGGAAUAUGUGGUGAAGCCAAUCACAACUCGAGUUUCCAUAAAAAGAAUCCAAAAAGGCCCUUUUUAAGUGAUGACUCUUCUCUGCCUGAAUCUUCUCAAGGUGUUUGCACUCAAAACACACAGCCUAAGAAGUGAAGAUGGAAUGAAGUGAAGUGAAGAUGGAAUGAAGUGAAGUGAAGAAGUGGAGGUUUUUUCUCUUGUUUUAGGAUCAUGCAUGACUCUCGGGUUAAAGUAUUUUUUUGUGGUUCUAGGGACUUGUUUCUUGCUUUUAUGUACUUUUUACAGGUCUUAGGACCUUGUUUCUCGGCAUUGUGGUCUAUUAUAAUGGGUUUUAAACUCUCUUUUGGUGUGUUCAAAUUCGAGUCUUUGUAAGGUUUGAAUUCAAUGUAUGAUAUUUUAAUGGCUUCUA